UCAAGAUAAUCUGAAUUGCACAGAAACCCACCUCAGUGUAAAUGAAAUACUUAUCUCUCAAGUUAUAUCUUG
rnacentral:tRNA from 1 species